rnacentral:rRNA from 1 species
UACGUAGGUGGCAAGCGUUGUCCGGAUUUAUUGGGUUUAAAGGGUGCGUAGGCGGCUUUGUAAGUCAGUGGUGAAAUAUGGCAGCUCAACUGUCAGGGUGCCAUUGAUACUGCAGAGCUUGAGUACAGAUGAGGUAGGCGGAAUUGACGGUGUAGCGGUGAAAUGCUUAGAUAUCGUCAAGAACACCGAUAGCGAAGGCAGCUUACUGGGCUGUAACUGACGCUGAGGCACGAAAGUGUGGGGAUCAAGCAGG